rnacentral:tRNA from 1 species
GGGCCGCUAGCUCAGUUGGUAGAGCAACUGCCUUUUAAGCAGUGGGUCACUGGUUCAAACCCAGUGCGGCUCA